rnacentral:rRNA from 1 species
ACUCUAAGCGGUGGAUCACUCGGCUCAUGGGUCGAUGAAGAACGCAGCAAACUGUGCGUCAUCGUGUGAACUGCAGGACACAUGAACAUCGACAUUUUGAACGCAUAUCGCAGUCCAUGCUGUUAUGUACUUUAAUUAAUUUUAUAGUGCUGCUUGGACUACAUAUGGUUGAGGGUUGUAAGACUAUGCUAAUUAAGUUGCUUAUAAAUUUUUAUAAGCAUAUGGUAUAUUAUUGGAUAAAUAUAAUAAUUUUUAUUCAUAAUAUUAAAAAAUAAAUGAAAAACAUUAUCUCACAUUUGAAUGUGAAAAACGAAGAGAAAUAUUUUCUUUUUCAAUCAAAUAAUACUGAGAAAUGUCUAGCAUAAAAAAUUGAAAUAUUUUUCAUCUAGAAUUGUCUCUUAUUAAUGAUUCGGAAAUAGAAAAAUCUUGGUUAUGUUAUUAUUCUUCGUUGGUUCGUUAAAAAUGGAUAAAUAAAAACUUUGCAUACAAGAAUUAAUAAAAAUGUUAUAACGAAUUUAAUUAAAUGUUUUAUCAUUAUAUAUAAAGAAUUUAUGGCAAGAUAAAGUUAUAUACAACCUCAACUCAUAUGGGACUACCCCCUGAAUUUAAGCAUAUUAAUUAGGGGAGGAAAAGAAACUAACAAGGAUUUUCUUAGUAGCGGCGAGCGAAAAGAAAACAGUUCAGCACUAAGUCACUUUGUCUAUAUGGCAAAUGUGAGAUGCAGUGUAUGGAGCGUCAAUAUUCUAGUAUGAGAAAUUAACGAUUUAAGUCCUUCUUAAAUGAGGCCAUUUACCCAUAGAGGGUGCCAGGCCCGUAUAACGUUAAUGAUUACUAGAUGAUGUUUCCAAAGAGUCGUGUUGCUUGAUAGUGCAGCACUAAGUGGGUGGUAAACUCCAUCUAAAACUAAAUAUAACCAUGAGACCGAUAGUAAACAAGUACCGUGAGGGAAAGUUGAAAAGAACUCUGAAUAGAGAGUUAAACAGUACGUGAAACUGCUUAGAGGUUAAGCCCGAUGAACCUGAAUAUCCGUUAUGGAAAAUUCAUCAUUAAAAUUGUAAUAUUUAAAUAAUAUUAUGAGAAUAGUGUGCAUUUUUUCCAUAUAAGGACAUUGUAAUCUAUUAGCAUAUACCAAAUUUAUCAUAAAAUAUAACUUAUAGUUUAUUCCAAUUAAAUUGCUUGCAUUUUAACACAGAAUAAAUGUUAUUAAUUUGAUAAAGUGCUGAUAGAUUUAUAUGAUUACAGUGCGUUAAUUUUUCGGAAUUAUAUAAUGGCAUAAUUAUCAUUGAUUUUUGUGUUUAUUAUAUGCACUUGUAUGAUUAACAAUGCGAAAGAUUCAGGAUACCUUCGGGACCCGUCUUGAAACACGGACCAAGGAGUCUAACAUAUGUGCAAGUUAUUGGGAUAUAAACCUAAUAGCGUAAUUAACUUGACUAAUAAUGGGAUUAGUUUUUUAGCUAUUUAUAGCUAAUUAACACAAUCCCGGGGCGUUCUAUAUAGUUAUGUAUAAUGUAUAUUUAUAUUAUUUAUGCCUCUAACUGGAACGUACCUUGAGCAUAUAUGCUGUGACCCGAAAGAUGGUGAACUAUACUUGAUCAGGUUGAAGUCAGGGGAAACCCUGAUGGAAGACCGAAACAGUUCUGACGUGCAAAUCGAUUGUCAGAAUUGAGUAUAGGGGCGAAAGACCAAUCGAACCAUCUAGUAGCUGGUUCCUUCCGAAGUUUCCCUCAGGAUAGCUGGUGCAUUUUAAUAUUAUAUAAAAUAAUCUUAUCUGGUAAAGCGAAUGAUUAGAGGCCUUAGGGUCGAAACGAUCUUAACCUAUUCUCAAACUUUAAAUGGGUAAGAACCUUAACUUUCUUGAUAUGAAGUUCAAGGUUAUGAUAUAAUGUGCCCAGUGGGCCACUUUUGGUAAGCAGAACUGGCGCUGUGGGAUGAACCAAACGUAAUGUUACGGUGCCCAAAUUAACAACUCAUGCAGAUACCAUGAAAGGCGUUGGUUGCUUAAAACAGCAGGACGGUGAUCAUGGAAGUCGAAAUCCGCUAAGGAGUGUGUAACAACUCACCUGCCGAAGCAACUAGCCCUUAAAAUGGAUGGCGCUUAAGUUGUAUACCUAUACAUUACCGCUAAAGUAGAUGAUUUAUAUUACUUGUGAUAUAAAUUUUGAAACUUUAGUGAGUAGGAAGGUACAAUGGUAUGCGUAGAAGUGUUUGGCGUAAGCCUGCAUGGAGCUGCCAUUGGUACAGAUCUUGGUGGUAGUAGCAAAUAAUCGAAUGAGACCUUGGAGGACUGAAGUGGAGAAGGGUUUCGUGUGAACAGUGGUUGAUCACGAGUUAGUCGGUCCUAAGUUCAAGGCGAAAGCCGAAAAUUUUCAAGUAAAACAAAAAUGCCUAACUAUAUAAACAAAGCGAAUUAUAAUACACUUGAAUAAUUUUGAACGAAAGGGAAUACGGUUCCAAUUCCGUAACCUGUUGAGUAUCCGUUUGUUAUUAAAUAUGGGCCUCGUGCUCAUCCUGGCAACAGGAACGACCAUAAAGAAGCCGUCGAGAGAUAUCGGAAGAGUUUUCUUUUCUGUUUUAUAGCCGUACUACCAUGGAAGUCUUUCGCAGAGAGAUAUGGUAGAUGGGCUAGAAGAGCAUGACAUAUACUGUUGUGUCGAUAUUUUCUCCUCGGACCUUGAAAAUUUAUGGUGGGGACACGCAAACUUCUCAACAGGCCGUACCAAUAUCCGCAGCUGGUCUCCAAGGUGAAGAGUCUCUAGUCGAUAGAAUAAUGUAGGUAAGGGAAGUCGGCAAAUUAGAUCCGUAACUUCGGGAUAAGGAUUGGCUCUGAAGAUUGAGAUAGUCGGGCUUGAUUGGGAAACAAUAACAUGGUUUAUGUGCUCGUUCUGGGUAAAUAGAGUUUCUAGCAUUUAUGUUAGUUACUUGUUCCGGAUAGUUUAGUUACGUAGCCAAUUGUGGAACUUUCUUGCUAAAAUUUUAAGAAUACUAUUUGGGUUAAACCAAUUAGUUCUUAUUAAUUAUAACGAUUAUCAAUUAACAUCAAUUCAGAACUGGCACGGACUUGGGGAAUCCGACUGUCUAAUUAAAACAAAGCAUUGUGAUGGCCCUAGCGGUGUUGACACAUGUGAUUUCUGCCAGUGUCUGAAUGUCAAAGUGAAGAAAUUAAGUAAGCGCGGGUCAACGGCGGGAGUAACUAUGACUC